UACGAAUUUUUCUCUCGUUCCUCGGAAUUACUGGGCGUAAAGCGUGCGUAGGUGGUUCGUUAAGUCUGAUGUGAAAGCCCUGGGCUCAACCUGGGAAUUGCAUUGGAUACUGGCGAGCUAGAGUGCGGUAGAGGAUGGCGGAAUUCCCGGUGUAGCAGUGAAAUGCGUAGAGAUCGGGAGGAACAUCUGUGGCGAAGGCGGCCAUCUGGACCAGCACUGACACUGAGGCACGAAAGCGUGGGGAGCAAACAGG
rnacentral:rRNA from 1 species